CCUACGGGGGGCUGCAGUGGGGAAUAUUGGACAAUGGGGGCAACCCUGAUCCAGCCAUGCCGCGUGUGUGAAGAAGGCUCUCGGGUUGUAAAGCACUUUCAGUGAGGAAGAACGCCUGGUGGUUAAUACCCAUCAGGAAAGACAUCACUCACAGAAGAAGCACCGGCUAACUCCGUGCCAGCAGCCGCGGUAAUACGGAGGGUGCGAGCGUUAAUCGGAAUUACUGGGCGUAAAGCGCGCGUAGGUGGCUUGAUAAGCCGGUUGUGAAAGCCCCGGGCUCAACCUGGGAACGGCAUCCGGAACUGUCAAGCUAGAGUGCAGGAGAGGAAGGUAGAAUUCCCGGUGUAGCGGUGAAAUGCGUAGAGAUCGGGAGGAAUACCAGUGGCGAAGGCGGCCUUCUGGACUGACACUGACACUGAGGUGCGAAAGCGUGGGUAGCAAACAGGAUUAGAUACCCCAGUAGUC
rnacentral:rRNA from 1 species